rnacentral:tRNA from 1 species
GGAUUUAGCUCAGUGGUAGAGCGCUUGCCUAGCAAGCACAAGGCUCUGGGUUCGGUCCCCAGCUCCG